UACGAAGGGGGCUAGCGUUGCUCGGAUUGACUGGGCGUAAAGCGCACGUAGGCGGAUAUUUAAGUCAGGGGUGAAAUCCCAGAGCUCAACUCUGGAACUGCCUUUGAUACUGGGUAUCUCGAGUAUGGAAGAGGUGAGUGGAAUUCCGAGUGUAGAGGUGAAAUUCGUAGAUAUUCGGAGGAACACCAGUGGCGAAGGCGGCUCACUGGUCCAUUACUGACGCUGAGGUGCGAAAGCGUGGGGAGCAAACAGG
rnacentral:rRNA from 1 species